ensembl:lncRNA
CACUAACCGAGCCUACAUCCUUCUCACAGAACAUCCAAGAACCUCGAAGUCUGAUGAUAGAUUACUAUUGCUUUAUCUUGUACUGAUUAUUCUUGCCCAUGACAUGAAGAGAGGCUGAGAUUGAACAACCUCCUUGACAGCAACCAAUCUGGCUUCAGAAGUGGACAUUCAACUGAGACUGCCUUGCUUUCAGUUAUUGAAGCCCUAGGACUGACAGCAGCGUGUGACCGCCAGCCCCACCGCCACGGGAGAGCACGGACCCACACUGAACUAGCAGCACCUCACAGACAAGACGCCGAGCACCGAACACCCAAACCACC